rnacentral:rRNA from 1 species
UUUGCGGUGUGGGAUGGGCCCGCGGCCUAUCAGCUUGUUGGUGGGGUGAUGGCCUACCAAGGCGACGACGGGUAGCCGGCCUGAGAGGGUGUCCGGCCACACUGGGACUGAGAUACGGCCCAGACUCCUACGGGAGGCAGCAGUGGGGAAUAUUGCACAAUGGGCGCAAGCCUGAUGCAGCGACGCCGCGUGGGGGAUGACGGCCUUCGGGUUGUAAACCUCUUUCACCAUCGACGAAGGUUCGGGUUUUCUCGGACUGACGGUAGGUGGAGAAGAAGCACCGGCCAACUACGUGCCAGCAGCCGCGGUAAUACGUAGGGUGCGAGCGUUGUCCGGAAUUACUGGGCGUAAAGAGCUCGUAGGUGGUUUGUCGCGUUGUUCGA